rnacentral:rRNA from 1 species
UUAAGUGACGAUAGCCUAGGAGAUACACCUGUACCCAUGCCGAACACAGUAGUUAAGCCCUAGAACGCCGGAAGUAGUUGGGGGUUUCCCCCUGUGAGAUAAGGAAGUUGCUUAGC